GAUGAACGCUGGCGGCGUGCCUAAUACAUGCAAGUCGAGCGAACAGACGAGGAGCUUGCUCCUCUGACGUUAGCGGCGGACGGGUGAGUAACACGUGGAUAACCUACCUAUAAGGCUGGGAUAACUUCGGGAAACCGGAGCUAAUACCGGAUAAUAUAUUGAACCGCAUGGUUCAAUAGUGAAAGACGGUUUUGCUGUCACUUAUAGAUGGAUCCGCGCCGCAUUAGCUAGUUGGUAAGGUAACGGCUUACCAAGGCAACGAUGCGUAGCCGACCUGAGAGGGUGAUCGGCCACACUGGAACUGAGACACGGUCCAGACUCCUACGGGAGGCAGCAGUAGGGAAUCUUCCGCAAUGGGCGAAAGCCUGACGGAGCAACGCCGCGUGAGUGAUGAAGGUCUUCGGAUCGUAAAACUCUGUUAUUAGGGAAGAACAAAUGUGUAAGUAACUAUGCACGUCUUGAUGGUACCUAAUCAGAAAGCCACGGCUAACUACGUG
rnacentral:rRNA from 1 species